rnacentral:rRNA from 1 species
GGGGAAGAGAAAAAGGACGGUACCCCCAGAAUAAGUCCCGGCNAACUACGGUGCCAGCAGCCGCGGUAAAACGUAGGGGACAAGCGUUAUCCGGAUUCACUGGGCGUAAAGAGCGUUGAGGCGGUUCCGUAAUUUGGGCGUGAAAGCUCCGGGCUUAACUCGGAGAUGUCGUUCAAUACUGCGGGGCUUGAGGACAGCAGAGGAAGGUGGAAUUCCCGGUGUAGUGGUGAAAUGCGUAGAUAUCGGGAGGAACACCCGUGGCGAAGNCGGCCUUCUGGGCUGUUCCUGACGCUGAAGGCGAAAGCUAGGGGAGCGAACGGGAUUAGAUACCCCGGUAGUCCUAGCUGUAAACGAUGGAUGCUGGGUGUGGGGGGUGUAAAUUCCCUCUGUGCCGAAGCAAACGCGUUAAGCAUCCCGCCUGGGGACUACGGCCGCAAGGCUAAAACUCAAACGAAUUGACGGGGGCCCGCACAAGCAGCGGAGCGUGUGGUUUAAUUCGAUGCUACACGAAGAACCUUACCUGGGUUUGACAUGCACGUGGUAGGGAACCGAAAGGGGACCGACCUUCGGGAGCGUGCACAGGUGCUGCAUGGCUGUCGUCAGCUCGUGCCGUGAGGUGUCGGGUUAAGUCCCGUAACGAGCGCAACCCUUGCCCUUAGUUACAAGUGUCUAAGGGGACUGCCCGGGACAACUGGGAGGAAGGUGGGGAUGACGUCAAGUCAGCAUGGCCUUUAUAUCCAGGGCUACACACACGCUACAAUGGCCGGUACAAUAGGUUGCGAAGUCGUGAGGCGGAGCCAAUCCUCAAAGCCGGUCUCAGUUCGAAUUGCAGUCUGCAACUCGACUGCAUGAAGCUGGAGUUGCUAGUAAUCGCAGGUCAGCUAUACUGCGGUGAAUACGUUCCCGGGCCUUGUACACACCGCCCGUCACGUCAUGGAAGCUGGCAACGCCUGAAGCCGGUGAGCUAACCCGAAAGGGAGCAGCCGUCGAGGGUGGGGCUGGUAACUGGGACGAAGUCGU